UUACACGCUUCGGUGGUACACAUACUAAAAUCGCAACAAUACAGAGAAGAUUAGCAUAGCCCCCGACCAAGAAUUAAAAAAAAAUUGACUAACGCGACAGCUCAUG